GUGGCUCAGUGGGUAGAGUGGUUGUCUUGUAAUUAGAAGGUUGUCGGUUUGAUUCCAGCUUCCA